CAGCAGUCCAUGUUUUUGCUCUCUCCCAGCACCUGGGCAAGGAGCAAAAACGUGGAUGGACUGGGGGUUCCUGUGGAUCAGGUUGAAGAACAUUGUUCUGUAUUGUUUUUGUUAAUUGAUUGAUAUUCAGAAUUUAUUUUUGGGGCUUUGGCUGCAUCUUGGUUAUAAUGUUUAAUUGAGAUAUGAAUUAAUAUGGAGAACACCACACACACGGCACAAAUUCUAUAAAGAUACUACUCAUAAAUUUAAUGUGAUAACACAUGUGAUAAAAAUACAAAUAUAAGGGCUUUAUUUGUAUGAAUAAAGCAUUUCACAUAUCUAACACAUGUGUCCCCAACAACCGUAGCCAGAUAUUAAAUCUGUUCUAGAAGAGCACACUCAUUGCUUGCUGUAAAAGCAUGCAGGAGGUCCCAGCUGAGCUCUGCUAUAGUUGUGCUCUGUGUAUUAUUCAUUUGUCAGAUGCUCUAAGACAGAGAAAUGGUUGGAGAGAACAAGGCAAUUAACAAAUGCAUGCAAACAAGUGGCAUGUUACACAAUAGGAGCAAACCAUUACAGCAUCCGAUAACAAAGGAAAGCAGUUGUCUUGCCAUAAUUGCAUUUUGAUAGCUGUUCUAGUGCCUUAACCUCUAUGCUCUGACUCCACUGUAAGGUCUAAGUUCUGUUCCCUCAGUCCAUUAUUCAAGAGGCAUUUUCCUUAUUUUGGUGAAUGUUUCUGAUUCUUGUUAGUGUCCACUGUUUCUGUUAAUUAAGUCCAGUGAUGCUAGCCACACCGGUAGAUGCGUAACCUGGUUACCCACCAGGCAGGCAGAUGGGGGCAGGUGGGCGAGGUGCAGCGUACUGUAUGAUGCAGGGGGGCACUGUGCAGCAGCUGAAGUUCCUCUUGGGUGUAAUCAUGUCCUGCGUACGGAACCAGCUGCCUUUCUCUGCAUUGUAGCAUUCCACCUUUGCAGUGACUUUGAAGCCAUCGGAGCCUCCCAUUGCAAACAGCAAGCCGUCCACCACUGUGAUGCCGAAAUAGCUCCUUUGUUGUUUCAUGGGAGGCGCAGCGUGCCACUGGUUAAUUGCAGGGUCAUAAACCUCCAUACUCCGCACUGGAUGAGCCCCGUUGGUACCGCCCACCUGGGAGACACCAAUGAGUACAAGAAAGGAAUCACUCACCGCAUAGAUGUUUCCCUGAUAUGCAACUACUUCAAGGCCACGUCGGCGAGUGCGCAUGGGAGCGAUCAAGGUCCAUUCGCCCGUGAGAGGAUCAUAGCACUCCGCAGUGGAAGUGGUCUGAGCUUCAUUGUUACCCCCACAAAUGUAUAUCUAGGAAAGAUGGUUCACAAGUGAUGUGUGUUAUGCUGUAUAUGAUUGGAGAUGGAGAUCUAGAAAGCAUAAAUGUACAUUUAGCUAAUGCAUGUUUAAUCCAUCCAUCUUCCAUAAAAGUUUAUUCGGUACAGGGUGGUGGUGAACCUGGAACCUACCACAGGAAGCACAUGGGCAAAGGAGAGGGAGAGAGAGAGAGAGGGACAGAAGGACGAAAAUGGAGAAGAAGGGAAAUAGAGAGAGAGCGAGGGAAAAGAGAAAAAAAAAGAAGAAAGAAAACCACAGAUAAUCUGCUUCAAUACCUGCUGAUGAGAGAAAACAACAACCAACAUCUGUACGAGUCACAAUGAGCAUGUUAAGGAGCAACAGCCGAUCAAGACAGUGUGUGUCUUAGUGUGUGUGGGGAGCCACAGCCCCAUCCCCAAGGACAUGAAGCAGACACGGAGGAGGCCCGGACCCCAGACAGCCAGAGGCCCCCCAGGGCAUGGGAGCCCCCGGAGGACCACCGCAGGGAGAAUAGCAGCCCCUCACCCAGAAAAGGGCAGAGGAGAGCUCCGGAGGGAGGCCAUCCGGCAGCCACA